rnacentral:rRNA from 1 species
CGGGGUGGAGUAAUGUCUGGGAAACUGCCUGAUGGAGGGGGAUAACUACUGGAAACGGUAGCUAAUACCGCAUAACGUCGCAAGACCAAAGUGGGGGACCUUCGGGCCUCAUGCCAUCAGAUGUGCCCAGAUGGGAUUAGCUAGUAGGUGGGGUAACGGCUCACCUAGGCGACGAUCCCUAGCUGGUCUGAGAGGGUGACCAGCCACACUGGAACUGAGACACGGUCCAG